rnacentral:rRNA from 1 species
GCCCGGGAAACUGGGUCUAAUACCGGAUACGACCGCCCCAGGCAUCUGGUGGUGGUGGAAAGUUUUUUCGGUUGGGGAUGGACUCGCGGCCUAUCAGCUUGUUGGUGGGGUAAUGGCCUACCAAGGCGACGACGGGUAGCCGGCCUGAGAGGGCGACCGGCCACACUGGGACUGAGACACGGCCCAGACUCCUACGGGAGGCAGCAGUGGGGAAUAUUGCGCAAUGGGCGAAAGCCUGACGCAGCGACGCCGCGUGGGGGAUGACGGCCUUCGGGUUGUAAACCUCUUUCAGCAGGGACGAAGUUGACGUGUACCUGCAGAAGAAGCGCCGGCUAACUACGUGCCAGCAGCCGCGGUAAUACGUAGGGCGCAAGCGUUGUCCGGAAUUAUUGGGCGUAAAGAGCUCGUAGGUGGCUGGUCGCGUCUGCCGUGAAAGCCCGCAGCUUAACUGCGGGUCUGCGGUGGAUACGGGCCGGCUAGAGGUAGGUAGGGGCAAGUGGAAUUCCUGGUGUAGCGGUGAAAUGCGCAGAUAUCAGGAGGAACACCGGUGGCGAAGGCGGCUUGCUGGGCCUUACCUGACGCUGAGGAGCGAAAGCGUGGGGAGCGAACAGGAUUAGAUACCCUGGUAGUCCACGCUGUAAACGUUGGGCGCUAGGUGUGGGGAUCUUCCACGAUCUCCGUGCCGGAGCUAACGCAUUAA